AUUGAACGCUGGCGGAAUGCUUUACACAUGCAAGUCGAACGACAGCACGGGGGCAACCCUGGUGGCGAGUGGCGAACGGGUGAGUAAUACAUCGGAACGUGCCCGGUCGUGGGGGAUAACGUAGCGAAAGUUACGCUAAUACCGCAUACGAUCUGAGGAUGAAAGCGGGGGACCUUCGGGCCUCGCGCGAUCGGAGCGGCCGAUGUCAGAUUAGGUAGUUGGUGGGGUAAAGGCCUACCAAGCCGACGAUCUGUAGCUGGUCUGAGAGGACGACCAGCCACGCUGGGACUGAGACACGGCCCAGACUCCUACGGGAGGCAGCAGUGGGGAAUUUUGGACAAUGGGCGCAAGCCUGAUCCAGCAAUUCCGCGUGCAGGACGAAGGCCUUCGGGUUGUAAACUGCUUUUGUAUGGAACGAAAAGGCUCUGGCUAAUACCUGGGGCUCAUGACGGUACCGUAAGAAUAAGCACCGGCUAACUACGUG
rnacentral:rRNA from 1 species